GGGAUGAACGCUGGCGGCGUGCCUAAUACAUGCAAGUCGAACGAGGUGCUUUUGUAGCAAUACGAGAGUAUCCUAGUGGCGAACGGGUGAGUAACGCGUUGGUGACCUACCCCAAAGUGUGGGAUAACAGUCCGAAAGGAUUGCUAAUACCGCAUGUGGUUAUAGGAUUUAGAAACCGAUAACUAAAGGAGCAAUUCGCUUUGGGAGGGACCUGCGUCCCAUCAGCUAGUUGGUGAGGUAAUGGCUCACCAAGGCUACGACGGGUAGGGGACCUGAGAGGGUCGACCCCCCACAAUGGAACUGAAACACGGUCCAUACACCUA
rnacentral:rRNA from 1 species